rnacentral:lncRNA from 1 species
GUCUUUUAUUCAGUUAUGUUUUGAGAUUUAUUUAAUUUCAUAUGCAAAGAUCUUAAUGCUUUUACGAAUUCUAGGGAGUGUGACAUACCUAGAGGCUCUUAACUGAACAUAGAAACAGGGGGCUGUAGAAGAUAUUUUUGGUCAACUUUUUCAAAUGUUGCAUUACAAACAUUACUUUAACCCCUUGGUAAGAUAGGGUUAUACCUAUCUAUUUAAUCUAUUAAGUAUCAUUCAUGAUAUUUGAUGUACUUCUAAGAUUCAUAGACGUAGGUGGAUCAUUUAAAUGACAAUUUAGGAGUACCAACUUUGUUUAUGUUUUAAUUAGCUUUGAGAGACUAAGACCUUACUUUAAUAACCUUACGAAGGCAUACAAACCUUGUAGGAAUGACGACCAUAUACAUUGUAUUUGCAUGUAUAACCUUAUUGUGAUCAAUAUGUGUGCAACUUGAGGGACAUAAAAAUCCCACGAACUCGUCACUUAAAUAGAACUCUUAUCUCAUAUUUAUCUUUAAUCCAACAAGGGAAUGGAGAGAAUUCGAAGAAUCCUAACCACCACUGCAUUCCGUAAUCAAAAUCAUUUACUUGCAUUCUCAUUCAGAAUGAAGCGGUUCAAGAGAAAGGCAUGCACUAGGAGGGUCAAGGGAGGAGUCUCUCCUCAACUUUUAUCCUUAGAGUAUGUUUUAUUUCUUUUGUAAUUUUUUUAGUUACUAUGAGUAACUUUACCCUAAUUGGGUAGGAUUCUAAGACAAACCUCUAUUUGUCUUAUGAAUCAAUUUAAUUCAAGUCUUUUAUUCAGUUAUGUUUUGAGAUUUAUUUAAUUUCAUAUGCAAAGAUCUUAAUGCUUUUACGAAUUCUAGGGAGUGUGACAUACCUAGAGGCUCUUAACUGAACAUAGAAACAGGGGGCUGUAGAAGAUAUUUUUGGUCAACUUUUUCAAAUGUUGCAUUACAAACAUUACUUUAACCCCUUGGUAAGAUAGGGUUAUACCUAUCUAUUUAAUCUAUUAAGUAUCAUUCAUGAUAUUUGAUGUACUUCUAAGAUUCAUAGACGUAGGUGGAUCUUUUAAAUGACAAUUUAGGAGUACCAACUUUGUUUAUGUUUUAAUUAGCUUUGAGAGAGUAAGACCUUACUUUAAUAACCUUACGAAGGCAUACAAACCUUGUAGGAAU